rnacentral:rRNA from 1 species
CCUACGGGAUGCAGCAGUGGGGAAUAUUGCACAAUGGGGGAAACCCUGAUGCAGCGAAGCCGCGUGAGUGAAGAAGUAAUUCGUUACGUAAAGCUCUAUCAGCAGAGAAGUAAAUGACGGUACCUGAGUCAGAAGCCCCGGCUAACUACGUGCCAGCAGCCGCGGUAAUACGUAGGGGGCAAGCGUUAUCCGGAUUUACUGGGUGUAAAGGGAGCGUAGACGGGGCGCCAAGUCUGUAGUGAAAUGCCGCGGCUUAACCGUGGAAUUGCUUUGGAUACUGGCGAACUAGAGUGCGGGAGGGGUAAGCGGAAUUCCUAGUGUAGCGGUGAAAUGCGUAGAUAUUAGGAGGAACACCGGUGGCGAAGGCGGCUUACUGGACCGUAACUGACGUUGAGGCUCGAAAGCGUGGGGAGCAAACAGGAUUAGAUACCCUUGUAGUC